rfam:Schistosoma rodhaini strain Burundi genome assembly, scaffold: SROB_scaffold0001106
GUUCAGCUGACGAGUCCCAAAUAGGGCGAAACGCUCAUCUUGAAU